GGGACAGCAGUACGCAUGCGCGAGCUGUGAGGCUGCAGUACGCCUGCGCGAGUCCGGAGAGAGCAGUACGCAUGCGCUGUUUUCCAGACCGCAGUACGCAUGCGCAUGUCCGGAGACGGCAGUACACAUGCGCGGUUUUUUGGGCUGCAGUACGCAUGCGGGAACGCGGAGACGACAGUACGCAUGCGCUGGAUUGAAGACGGCAGAAUGUGUGCGCUUGCCUGGAAAAGGCUCCGCGCAUGCGCCGGCUCCGAGACGGCACCGCGCAUGCGGCUACGGUCUUACAUUAUUUCGCAUGAGCAUUUUUAGGUACACACCUACACCUGCAGUUUUUUGGACUCCUCAUUAUGCAUGCGACGAGCGCAGGGUAGACUCUUCUCGGGGCGUGCUCGGGUGUCAUAUCGCCUGAGGUCCAUAAAUUGACUGCCCCCCCCCACCUCAGGGCUUCGUGGAAAUGGAUUCUAUUUAUACGUUUCAUGGCGCAUGCGCACCGGUGCCAGGAGGACUAAGUAAAAUAAAGACCGGCGGAUUUGCUGCGCAGAGUGACUAGAAAAUACAUAAACCACUUCCGUGUGCCUGCGCUCAUGUGUCCUGCUGCCUCCGCCACCAAACGCUUACGUCCGCAAUUCCACCAAUUGGCCACACGGGGGCAUUAGAGACCAAAGGAAGAAUUAAUAUUAAGCACGAGGUAUGCGUAAGUCAUCACGAGGCAUGCUGCUCAGCACCACCUUUGGGAAACAGCUAAUGGAUAUGUAAUAAAAAUCUCGGUACAGCAGUAACAUACAACGUUAUAUAAGAAUAAUACGAGAACACCUUGCAAGGAGGCGAGGGACUUUACAACCUCUGUCUGGGAAGUCCAGCACCAUUUGCCCGCAGACACCUCUUUGGCAACUGUUCUAGAUCCAGCUGUACAUCCUGUUCCAGAGCACAGCUCAAAACUACAAAGGAAACAAAGGGAGGUCUGAGUAGGCACAAGAAAGAGAAUGUAAUGUUUCCAUACUGAAAAAAGCAAGUAAGCAAUCGAAGACAGAAGCCAUUCCUAGAAUACUGCUAUGGGAAACAUAGCGGCAGAGAAGAAAGAAUCCACAUUUCCCUGAACAACUGCUCCAAGAAAAAAAGAAAAAUCAAUUGCUUUUAGACAUUCUUUGUUUGAAGGCAGAUACCAUCCUCACACUUUAAAAGCAUUAAAAAAAAAAAAAAAAAAAAAAAAAAAAAAAAAACCAAUACAGUGCACAGAGUAAUCUCCUCCAACAACACGUGUAUUUGGUGUAGGCAGCAAGUGGCACAGCUCUGUGUCAUAAAGAACUCAAGUUAUAAGCACCAAGCACCAAAGCUCCAGCCAAACCAGCCAAAUGUGCCUACUGACAGCCAGAAUCCUUAGGAAAGACAGCCAGUAAAAAAGUCAAACAAAGCACCUGAUUCUCAGCCUUCUCAGUCCUUUUUGAAAAUCCGGAGGCCUCCCUGUUGGCUUCACUACUGGCCUGCAAAGCCCGAGCUCACAGUCUGUUGGAAGUCCUUGUAACUAGACAGCAGAGAAUUUGGAUUGGACUGAAUUUCAGGAAGCCGUUGCAUUAGAUCAAAAAUAGCGCCUCUCUGAGCGACUGGAAAAAAGGCAGCAUCACACCCAUUUUUAAGAAGGGAAGAAAGGAUGAUCCUGGGAACUACCAAUGUAACAGUCUCACCUCUGUGCUGGGAAAGAGCACAGAGUAGAUCCUCCUGGAAGUUGCGUUAAGGCACAUGCAAGACAGGGAGGAGAUACAGGAGAACCAGCUUGUCUUCACCGAGGGUAAAAAUCCUGCAUGGCCAACCUAGUGGCUGUCUAUGAUGGCAUCACUGCAUCAAUAGACAAGUGAAGAGCCACUGAUACCAUCAACCUGGAUGUCAGUAAGGCCUUUGACACAAUAUCCUGCAACAUCCUUCUCUCCAAAUGGGAAAGAUACAGAUUUGAUGGGUGGAUUGUUGAAUGGACAAAGAAUCAGCUGCAGGAUUGGGUCCAGAGAGCGGCGGCCAAUGGCUCCAUGUCUGGAUGGCGAUUGGUGAUGAGUGGUGUCCCACAUGGGCCCAUGCUGAGGCUGAUACUGUUCAAUAUCUUCAACGGCGACAUCAGUGGGGUCGAGCACACCCUCAGAAAGUUUGCUGACAACACCAAGCUGUGGGGUGCAGUGACACACCAGAGGGACAGGACACCAACCAGAGCUGGACAGGCUCAAGCAACGGGUACAGGGAAAUCUCAUCAGGUUCGACAAAUCCAGAUGCAGUGUCUUGCACCUGGGACAAGAGAACCCCCCGCUACCAAUACAUACCGGGGGAUGAAAGGGCUGAGCAUAGGCCUGUCCCAAAAGACCUGGAGGUACUGGUGGACGGCAAGCUGGACGUGAGCCAGCAAUGUGCCCUCCCAGCCCAGAAAACCAACCAUAUCCUGGUCUGCAUCAAAAGAAGCGUGGUCAGCAGGCGAAGGGAGGUGAUCCUGCCCUUCUGCUCUGUGCUGAAGAGGCCUCACCUGGAGUACUGCAUCCAGAUGUAGAGUCCUCAGUGCAGAAGAGACAUGGACCUGUUGGAGCACAACCAGAGGUUGGCCACAAAAAAAUGAACCAAGGGAUCAAACACCUUUCCUACAAGGACAGGCUGAGAGAGCUGGGGCUGUUCAGGCUCCGAGGUGACCUGGUAACAGUCUUUCAGAACCUAAAGGGGAUCUAAAGGAAAGAACAAGGGAAAAAUUAGGUUAGAUAUCAGGAAAAUAUCUUUUACAGUGAGGGUGGUGAGGCAGUGGAACAGGUUGCCCAGAGAUGUAGUGGAUGCCCUGUACCUUUCAAGGGGAGGCUGGAUCAGGUUCUGGGCAGCCUGAUCUAGCUGUGGACGUCCCUGUUCAUUGUGGGGGAGUUGGACAAGAUCAUCAUAAAUGGUCCCUUCCAACUCUAAGGAGUCUAUACCUGAAGCCGUGAGACACGAUGACACAAAGGACAUUGAUGGCCUGGUGUGCAAUCAGGGCAGGUGGGGAAGCCUGCAUGCUCAGCAGCUCUGGGGUAACUCACCAAGUACUCCGGUCAGGAAGAUCCACAGAGCCUCUCUGUGCCAGUCCCGGUAUUCAGCAGAUCAGAGGCCUUGCUUCAUCACACUGUUGAGUCCCAUAGCUGCAGAGCUAGCUAUUGAAUGGGGUUCAGGGGAUGGAAGGAAGAGGGGUGGGGAAUUUGGGUAUCAUACAAAUUAGGAAACUAAUAGCAUCCCCUGACAAUUGGGAUGGAGAUAUCCAGGAUGAUCCUGACAAAGUGGUCCAGUAGAGGACAAUCCUUUGUUUCCUAUAAAUACAAAGCCAGAUCUGUCAUAAAAACAGAAAGAACCAUAGGACCCUGGGGUGGUCAGCCACAAUGUGCUCUGAGAACUAUGCCUUGGCAUCUGUUACCACUGACAGAUUUGUAAGGGAGAUAUAGGAGAGAACCUGACAAAACGGGAACAGAAUACUUGUGGUCAGUAUGCUCGGGUGGUACAGACUGUAUUAUACUGAGUGAGGAUGAAGCAAAUGGCCACUGGAGUUCAGGAGUGUUCUUCAGGUCCUGGCUGAUGCACUUCACUCUACCACCAGCCACGGAGCUCAGUGGGAUGGGAUAACAGACUCCAUGGAUUGAGGUCUCACACCACCAAUUAAGGAGCUCCAGCAAUCCUUAGACCCCAUUGAGCUGCAAAAUGAGAUCAGAAGAG
ensembl:lncRNA